rnacentral:rRNA from 1 species
AAUAUCGAACCUGGCCCCCUGGCCACGUCUACCUUGCAAACCCGUGGAAGCGAACCGUGCUUCGGCGCCUCGGCGUCGAGUUUAUGCUGCAGCUGGUAGUUUGCGUCUGAAUCAAACCAAAGAACAUAAAACUUUCAACAGAGGAUCUCUUGGCUCUUGUAUCGACGAAGAACGCAGCAAAGCGCGAAAUGUAGUGAACAUAGCAGCACAAUUGUGAAUCAUCGAAUCUUUGAACGCACAUUGCGCCUCCGGUAGCUCGGAGGCAUGCCUGUCUGAGCGUCAUUUAAAACCAUGGACCCAGGAUUGGGUCCGUAUUGGGCGUCGCCCCCCUCUCCAGAGUGGCGCGUGGCCUCAAAGACAUUGGUCUCACAUGCGGACGAGCUCCCCUGGGACAGACCGCGUGGGGACCCUUAGCAUCUGACUUUGAUCUCAGAUCAGGUAGGACUACCGCCUG